rnacentral:rRNA from 1 species
GCUUACGGCCACACCUCCCUGACGCCCGAUCUCGUCCUGAUCUCGGAAGCUAUCAGGGUCGGCCCGGUUAGUACUUGAUGGGAGACCGCCUUGGAAUACAGGUGCUGUAAGCC